rnacentral:rRNA from 1 species
UACGUAGGGGGCAAGCGUUGUCCGGAUUUAUUGGGCGUAAAGAGCGUGUAGGCGGCUAGGUAGGUGGGUUGUGAAAACUGGAGGCUCAACCUUCAGACGUCGACCCAAACCCCCUGGCUAGAGUCCGGAAGAGGAGAGUGGAAUUCCUGGUGUAGCAGUGAAAUGCGUAGAGAUGUGGAGGAACACCGAUGGCGAAGGCAGCCCCCUGGGCUGAGCAUUGACGCUCAGGCACGAAAGCGUGGGGAGCAAACAGG